rnacentral:rRNA from 1 species
AUUGAACGCUGGCGGCAGGCCUAACACAUGCAAGUCGAGCGGAUGAAGGGAGCUUGCUCCUGGAUUCAGCGGCGGACGGGUGAGUAAUGCCUAGGAAUCUGCCUGGUAGUGGGGGAUAACGUCCGGAAACGGGCGCUAAUACCGCAUACGUCCUGAGGGAGAAAGUGGGGGAUCUUCGGACCUCACGCUAUCAGAUGAGCCUAGGUCGGAUUAGCUAGUUGGUGGGGUAAAGGCCUACCAAGGCGACGAUCCGUAACUGGUCUUAGAGGAUGAUCAGUCAAACUGGAACUGGAACACGGUCCAGACUCCUACGGGAGGCAGCAGUGGGGAAUAUUGGACAAUGGGCGAAAGCCUGAUCCAGCCAUGCCGCGUGUGUGAAGAAGGUCUUCGGAUUGUAAAGCACUUUAAGUUGGGAGGAAGGGCAGUAAGUUAAUACCUUGCUGUUUUGACGUUACCAACAGAAUAAGCACCGGCUAACUUCGUG